UAUCGUUUUAUGUUGUGCAGAUUGUUAGUUCACCGUAAAUAUGUCUUGAUUUGUACUCAAGAGUGGAGCAAGGCCCCAAGGAACAGAGAUUGACGCAACGGGAGCGAAGAACAGAAGCGAUGGAUGGUUACGCUGGUUGACUCUCGGCAUGUUCAAAAUGGCGAAGUUCCGAAUUUGUCGCUGUGUGACGUACGCGUGUGUGCUCGUGAUGUGCCGUCAUAGCGCGGGGAUAUUUGUGCUGAAUGUGUUUCACUUCGUCUACAAAACUCUGCACGCAAUGGCAUCGAAGAAGUCGUGUGUUCAGGUGCACGUAUGUGCAUGCUUGGAUACGGAAAGCCUGCCCUCAACAGUAGCGCUGAGCUCAGCCGUGUUGGCUCAGCGCUACCCCCUCAACGGAUGUUCAACAGUCUACGUGCUCGUAACUUGCUCACGAGACCUCCUUGCUGUUGCAACUCUGAGGACAAUUGCUUCAAAUGGGAAGGAACAACCAGCACUGCCAGCGCUAUUUGUACAUGAGGACACCUCCUUGCUGUUGCAACUCUGAGGACAAUUGCUUCAAAUGGGAAGGAACAACCAGCAGUGCCAGCGCUAUUUGUACAUGAGGACGACGAGAGGGUUCCACUCACCCCCUGUGUGGUGUAUUCUGGCCACAACCUGGAACAGGCAGAGUUUCUCCACCUCUGUGUCGACAAGGAGCGGCUGUUCAUGGUCAAAAAUGCGGAGGAAGGGGUCAUCGCAAUCAUGAGUGCAUUUUUUGUAUUGAACAUAGUAUAUGGGCCUAAAUACUUCAACACCAGUGCAGUACUGGAACGAUUGUUUUUUGGUUUGAAUGUAAUAAUGCCAAGUGGUUGUUACAAAGUUUGUGAACAGAGUUGUGCAGGCAAUGCGAAACUGAGGUUCAUGUAUGUUACCAUACGAAUGCUAGCCUGACAAUUUUGUGCAAUAGCUUGAGCAAUAGUUUUGUGCAAUUUUUAAUGUAUCAUUUUCUUUCUUUUUGAUCACGAUAAUAGCAUGAUCCAGUGACUUCUUCCGCUGCUUGUGCCAACCACCUAUAGACUGCACCUUUUUUUGUUCUGAUGACUUGACAGACAAUGUAAUAGUGCCCAAGUGUAGGUCAGCAAAAAACAAACGUGGUGUACUGUAGUCUGCAUGUACUUAUCGAAAACGUUGCUGGGUGUUGCUAUGUGCUGAAAAGAUUACAAUACGUCUAGUUCUAAUGAGGUCUGCCUUAACAUUAAUGUGUGUGAAACAAUUGUCAGCAGUUUUAUACAAAGAUUAUAGCUUGCUUGCUCUUCCUUAACAUAGUUUGUUUAUGAAACCUAUUUGCCAGCCAGGGAACAAUGUCCCAGCUUAUAAGUACUGCAUGAUACAACUGUUAACGUUUGUAUUCCCUUAUAGGGCACAUCAACACUGGCAGGCAGUGCUCAACUUUUCGUAACAUGCUGCUUGGUCAAUAUUUUAUAUUUUGCGCAUGUGUUGCAUUGUGUAACCUACCCAAUACAAGUGAAAGUUUUUGUGGUUUGACUGUCCUUUUAUGAACUAUGUUUUAUGUUUAUUAUGUACAACUUAGCAGCUGAGGCCUGACAUAC